AUUGAACGCUGGCGGCAGGCCUAACACAUGCAAGUCGAGCGCGCGGCGCACGGGUGAGUAAUGUCUGGGAGACUGCCUGAUGGAGGGGGGUAACUACUGGAAAAGGUAGCUAAUACCGCAUACCCUCUGAUGUGCCCAGAUGGGAUUAGCUAGUGGGUGGGGUAAUGGCUCACCUAGGCGACGAUCCCUAGCUGGUCUGAGAGGAUGACCAGCCACACUGGAACUGAGACACGGUCCAGACUCCUACGGGAGGCAGCAGUGGGGAAUAUUGCACAAUGGGCGCAAGCCUGAUGCAGCCAUGCCGCGUGUGUGAAGAAGGCCUUCGGGUUGUAAAGCACUUUCAGCGGGGAGGCGUUACCCGCAGAAGAAGCACCGGCUAACUCCGUGCCAGCCGCCGCGGUAAUUC
rnacentral:rRNA from 1 species